UGGUUUCUUCCUACUAGAAUUCGAUUCUGUUCUUAAUUGAGUGGAGUAGUUAUCUUUCGGGGUAAUCAAUUAGUUGUUAUGUCUCCACUAAUAAGUAGAGAGGAGUAAAAUCUUCAAAGCAAGUUUUGUGGAUCAAGGUAUGGUGAUUAAUUGGAGUUCUAGUUCGUUUACUUUGAGAAAAUUAGAGUGUUUAAAGCAGCCUCUUGGGGCUCUAAAUACAUUAGCAUGGGAUAAUAGAAUAGGAUCUUUAUAAUAUAUUCGUUGGUUUAAAUUAAUUAAAGAUAAUGAUUAAUAGGGACAGUUGGGGGUAUUCAUAUUGGGUGGUUAGCGGUGAAAUGCUCGGAUCCAUUCAAGAUGAACUAAAGCGAAAGCAUUUACCAAGGAUGUUUUCAUUAAUCAAGAACGAAAGUUAAGGGAUCGAAGACGAUUAGAUACCGUCGUAGUCUUAACUAUAAACUAUGCCGACCAGGGAUAUGGGUUGUUACGAAUAUAUGCAAAUAUAUUCAAUUUCUUCUUAUGGACCUUGUGAGAAAUCAUAAGUGUUUGGGUUCUGGGGGGAGUAUGGUCGCAAGGCUGAAACUUAAAGGAAUUGACGGAGGGGCACCACCAGGAGUGGAGCGUGCGGCUUAAUUUGACCCAACACGGGAAAACUUACCAGGUCCAGACAUUAGAAGGAUUGACAGAUUGAUAGCUCUUUCAUGAUUUAAUGGGUGGUGGUGCAUGGCCGUUCUUAGUUGGUGGAGUGAUUUGUCUGGUUAAUUCCGAUAACGAACGAGACCUUUACCAUACUAACUAGUUAUAUAUAAUCUUCAAUGUUUAUAUAGAUGAACUUCUUAGAGGGACUAUUGGUUUACAAACCAAAGGAAGUAAAGGCGAUAACAGGUCUGUGAUGCCCUUAGAUGUUCUGGGCUGCACGCGCGCUACAAUGAUAAGAUCAACAAGUUAUUUUUAUUGAUUUGCUUAACUGGAAGGUUUGGCUAAUCUUAAACUCUUAUCGUGCUUGGGAUAGAUGAUUGCAAUUAUUCAUCUCAAACCAGGAAUUCCUAGUAAUCAUAACUCAUCAGGUUGUGAUGAUUACGUCCCUGCCCCUUGUACACACCGCCCGUCGCUGCUACCGAUUGGAUGAUCCGGUGAAAUCUUCGGAUUAUUGUAGAUUAUUUAAUCGCAAGGUUAGAUGCUAUGAUGAGAAGUUGAUUAAACCUUAUCAUCUAGAGGAAGCAAAAGU
rnacentral:rRNA from 1 species